UACGUAGGGUGCAGGCGUUAAUCGGAAUUACUGGGCGUAAAGCGUGCGCAGGCGGUUUCUUAAGUCAGAUGUGAAAGCCCCGGGCUUAACCUGGGAACUGCGUUUGAAACUGGGAGACUUGAGUGUGGCAGAGGGGGGUGGAAUUCCACGUGUAGCGGUGAAAUGCGCAGAUAUCGGGAGGAACACCAAUGGCGAAGGCAGCUCGCUGGGACGGUACUGACGCUGAGGCGCGAAAGCGUGGGGAGCAAACAGG
rnacentral:rRNA from 1 species